rnacentral:sRNA from 1 species
GAAACGCCACCGAUUGCAGCGGAAAUCCUUUCUGGUUUAAAUUCGUGUUUGGUAAAGGAAUCCAUUCAGAAAGAUUGGAGCGGAAAGCGGGAUCGCCU